rnacentral:rRNA from 1 species
CCUACGGGAGGCAGCAGUAGGGAAUUUUUCACAAUGGGCGAAAGCCUGAUGGAGCAACGCCGCGUGCAGGAUGAAGGCCUUCGGGUUGUAAACUGCUUUUAUAAGCGAGAAAUAUGAUGGUAACUUAUGAAUAAGGAUCGGCUAACUACGUGCCAGCAGCCGCGGUCAUACGUAGGAUCCGAGCAUUAUCCGGAGUGACUGGGUGUAAAGAGUUGCGUAGGUGGCAUAAUAAGUAGCUAGGGAAAUCUGGUGGCUCAACCAUUCAGACUAUUAGCUAAACUGUUAAGCUCGAGACCGUUAGGGGUAACUGGAAUUUCUAGUGUAGGAGUGAAAUCCGUAGAUAUUAGAAGGAACACCAAUAGCGUAGGCAGGUUGCUGGGACGGUUCUGACACUAAGGCACGAAAGCGUAGGGAGCAAACGGGAUUAGAUACCCCAGUAGUC